UGGGAUAACAAAGGAGCAGCCUAUGAGCUACCGUUUAGGCUUUUGUUGGUUUUAAAAGUUCGUGGGGAGAUUACGGGUUUGUAGGACCGGCGUUGUGGAGCCUUCUUAACCGGGGGUUCCCUCGUCUCCUCCUUGUGCUGGCAACGGUGCCUGGAGGCCUAUUUUACUCAGGAAUGAAGGAGGGUUGCUCGGGGGAAAACGUACUUGGGCGUGAGAGGUGAAAUUCUUAGACCGCCCAAAGACGAACUACAGCGAAGGCAUUUUCCAAGGAUACCUUCCUCAAUCAAGAACCAAAGUGUGGGGAUCGAAGAUGAUUAGAGACCAUUGUAGUCCACACCACAAACGGUGACCCCCAUGAAUUGGGGAGUUUUUGUGGAGGCGUUCCCCGGCUUGUCCGGGCGGGCGUCCCGCAAUAAAGUAUUCAACCUACGUGCACGUUCUAUCCAGCCAAGAGGUUACACUCUUGGCCUUGACGGGAACUUCCUCAGCACCU
rnacentral:rRNA from 1 species